rnacentral:rRNA from 1 species
GUGGGGAAUCUUGCGCAAUGGGCGAAAGCCUGACGCAGCCAUGCCGCGUGAAUGAUGAAGGUCUUAGGAUUGUAAAAUUCUUUCACCGGGGACGAUAAUGACGGUACCCGGAGAAGAAGCCCCGGCUAACUUCGUGCCAGCAGCCGCGGUAAUACGAAGGGGGCUAGCGUUGCUCGGAAUUACUGGGCGUAAAGGGCGCGUAGGCGGACAGUUUAGUCAGAGGUGAAGGCCCAGGGCUCAACCUUGGAAUUGCCUUUGAUACUGGCUGUCUUGAGUACGGGAGAGGUGAGUGGAACUCCGAGUGUAGAGGUGAAAUUCGUAGAUAUUCGGAAGAACACCAGUGGCGAAGGCGACUCACUGGCCCGUUACUGACGCUGAGGCGCGAAAGCGUGGGGAGCAAACAGGAUUAGAAACCCGGGUAGUCC